GGGCGGUUAACUCAGCGGUAGAGUGCUAUCCUCACACGGUAGAAGUCAGAGGUUCGAAUCCUCUACCGCCCACCA
rnacentral:tRNA from 1 species